CCUACGGGUGGCUGCAGUGAGGAAUAUUGGGCAAUGGAGGAAACUCUGACCCAGCAACGCCGCGUGAAUGAUGAAGGUCUUCGGAUUGUAAAGUUCUUUUCUAAGGGAAGAAGAAAGUGACGGUACCUUAGGAAUAAGCCUCGGCUAACUACGUGCCAGCAGCCGCGGUAAUACGUAGGAGGCAAGCGUUAUCCGGAAUGACUGGGCGGAAAGGGUGGGGAUGUGGUUUGACAAGUUGGGAGCGAAACUCCGAGGCGUAACCUCGGCACUACUACGGAAACUGUUGAACUAGAGUGCAGGAGGGGCAAAUGGAAUUCCUAGUGUAGCGGUGGAAUGCGUAGAUAUUAGGAGGAACACCAGUGGCGAAGGCGAUUUGCUGGACUGUAACUGACGCUGAGGCACGAAAGCGUGGGGAGCAAACAGGAUUAGAUACCCUUGUAGUC
rnacentral:rRNA from 1 species